UUGUGACCUUUCAAGGAAUCUGCAAUCAUUAUUAGAUCCGGGAUGGUCUAAAUAAAUAUGGAUAAAGUUUUUAUUUGCCAUUUUGCAUAUCGAAUAGAAUUUAAAAUGUUGGUUUGUUUAGUACUUGUCACAAUAAGGCGAAAAUAAUUAUUUAUGGUUAUUUCACUGAAAGUAGCAUUAAACGUCAUGUGUGCGGAUCAAAGAAUUGGAAGUUGCAACAUUCUGUACCAGCUGAAUUGGAAUAUUAUGCAUAACAAUAAUCAAUAGUGGUACUCAUUUAACGUUGCAAUGAAAUAAGUAUAGUAAAUUUGCAAUAUGGCCACAAAUGUUAAAUGAGCGCUCUUUGGCAAUAUUGUGGUAAUAUCAGCUUAUUGUGAAUUAAUUGUAAGCAUCCCAGCAUGUCUUGGGUACUGAAACUCCAUCACAUUCAAAGAAAUUUUAAUAACACCAUUACAUACACACAUAUGCAACAAAGGGCAAAAUGGGCAUACACAUUUACCUCAACUCUUCUCUCGUACAGCACUCUGAAUGAUAGAAAGAAACAACCAAAGUUCUCGUAUUUGAUCAAGUUUUGUUUUGAGCUAUAUCAUGGCUGCUUGUGAAUUAUUAUUUUGCGUGGUUUAUUUAAAUCAGUGAUCUGCAGCCUAAUUAAAGUUUAAAUUAUUGAAGCACCCAUUUUUAAAUAAGUAAAACGUAAAAUAAAAGUUUUCUAAAGCCAAAAUAUGGAAUUGAAGAAGGUAAUACAGUAAUACUUCAUUGCACUGUCAAUUCGAAGCACGCAAUAGAAGCUACGCCUACAAUGGUCAACAUCAAUGGCGAAACCAUUGAAUAUAUAUUUCAAACUUCAUAUUAUUGUAACAGCGUAGAACUUUCGAAGCGAUGGAAUAUGUACUGCAAGCAAAUCCAGAACUAUGGAUGCAAACGCUGCUACAUGGAAUACAAAUCAUUUACACAACAGAUAUUAGGUUUAAUGUCACUUUUUUACGUACAAUUAAACCUUUUGGUCAACACAAGCACGAGAAUUGGAAGGAAGCAAGGCACGAGGAAUUGAGGUGAUUUUGUAACCGUUUGUCAUCGCGACGUGUGUCAACUGGGUUUUGUCAAUGAGCUAGAGGGAAAAGCAAAUGCAGUAUUUUUGGACGUACCGGCACCUCAGUUGGCCGUGCCAUUAGCAGCUAAAACACAGAAAUUUAAGGGAAGUCUUUUUUGAUUAAUUGUCACCUUGUAUUGAGAAUCGUAACGUUGUUGUAUCGCUUUACAAGGACAUGGAUUCACCGAAAUUAGUUCAAUGGAAAUACUACGGCAAGAGCAUGGAUGUUAUGCCUAGAACGUUGCCCGUGCUAUAUUUAGAAUUACUGCAACAUAGGAAACCCUCCUCCCAGAAAUUGGAUGAAGUGAAAUUAAUGAAAGAACAGAUCUUACAAAAACUCCUAAAGAAACCAAAAUAGUUCUCACAUAAUGUGCGCAGCUUACACUUCCAGGCUGCUCGGGGUAUUUGCCACUCUUCCUCCAGCCUUUGUCAGAUAGCAAAAAUUGUUCAACUAUUCAAUACGUUUUACAUAUGUAUAUGGUGUAGUACGAUAAUACAUGUAUAAAUUAAAUAUAAUAAUAAACACCUGAA